GCAUCUGUAGCUCAGUGGAUAGAGUGUGUGUGCUUUCUAAGCAGGAGGUCGUGGGUUCGAACCCUACCUGAUGUG
rnacentral:tRNA from 1 species